GUUUGUUAGCUUUAAAAAAAUUUUUUUUGUUGGUUUAUGUGCCUUUUGCAUCAUGCUUUGGCGACAAUAUGAAUAAUAUUCUUUAAUCGAAAGCUUUGGAUCUUAACAAUAGCUGCGUAAUGUAAAUUAAUCGGGUAGACUUUUAAGACUAUUGUUAUGUUGUGAUAAAUUAGUCGGCGAAGCUUAUAGCUAUUUGACGAUUUUUCCUUUUAUGUUAGUGUUUAGGCGAAGAUGUCUAUACACUUAGUACACUUUAUUUUCCUUUAGUUAUUGUUAGGGUUAAAAUUACCCACUUUUUAUAAAAGUGUUAUAACUUUGGCUGUACAUGAUUACUAUAAGUUACUUUAGAGAAUUGUCCAUGAAAAUAAUUGAAAGUGUUUAUGCUUAAAUAAGUAAUAUAAUUGUUUUCGUUGUUUCUCAAGUUUUUCCCGUCUGUUUAUUAAAAACAUUUCUAUAAAUAAAAUUUUAUAGUAGUACCUGCUCUAUGUUGUUAUAAAUGGCCGCAGUAUAUUGACUGUGCGAAGGUAGCAUAAUUAAUUGCCUUAUAAUUGAAGGCUUGUUUGAAUGGUUUGACGUGGUAAAUACUAACAUCGUUAGUUUAUUUGAAAUUAUUUUGGGGGGCACAGAAACCCCCUUUUUUAAUUAGACGGAAAGACCCCGGGAUCUUUCUUUUUUGCCUGGGGCAGGUUAAAGUGUUUCACUUUUAUUUUGAUCCUCUAUAGGUUUAAUGAUUUAAGUUACCCCGGGGAUAACAGUAUAAUAGCUUAAUAGAGAUCUUAUCGAUUAAGUUGUUUGUUACCUCGAUGUUGACUUAGGCUUCAGCAUAGGCGCAGUAGUCUGUGUUUAAGGUCUGUUCGACCUAGUAGCCUCCAUGAGUUGAGUUAAGACCGGUGUGAGCCAGGUCGGUUCUUAUCUAUUUUUCUAAUUUGUUAGUACGAAAGGACCACAAAUUUUUUUGUU
rnacentral:rRNA from 1 species